CACCAGUAGCAGUUAAGCUGCCAGCAUGAUCUUGUCUUCCUCUCCUAAGCUUCAUAUAUAUAACUAAGCUAAGGAAAUAAAUAAUUUUCUCGUUCUCAUAAGAUUAUAUGAUAAUAGCUUAGAGAGAGAGAGACUAGGUCAUGCUGGUAGCUUCACCUGCUAAUGAC
rnacentral:pre_miRNA from 2 species